GUUACAGGUCUGCAAAACAUACACACAACAGAGCAAGAAGCAAUGUCACAGAGUGAGUGCCAGUGAGGUGUUAGUGCUUGGAACUUUGACGUUGAGGAUUUAAAAGCUCAAGCAUCCAUGGAACAUACAUUGAUAAGAAGUGCCCUUGAGAUGCCAUGGUGACUUGGUGAGGGACUGGGGGCUACUGAACAUCUUGUAUUUUCCCGGACAUUGUACAAACUUGAAUACUUGAUGGCAACCUCAUCGGAUUCAAGUGAUACAGUUAGUUCUCAUUAUGAUGGUGAUAAUGAUGAAAUUGUUGUUGUUGGGAAUGAUGCAAAUUGUUGUUGUUUUGGUUUUUAAUUGGUUAUGUUGUUAAGACAAUAUGUGUUGGUGAACUUGUUGUGUAACUGUGUUGAUUGAAAUCAUUGAAUGGUUAUUUGCAAGAUGGAUUUAUUUGCAGCCUUGCUGCUAGUGCAGAUUGCACUUUGCAGAAUGGUUUAUUGGUUUUA